GAUGGCGUCGACUCUAGGGUUCGCCGUACAAUGAGUAAAGGUUUCGAUGGAUUCAGUUGGGGUUUUAUCAUGGCUUUUUUGCGGUUGGGGCUAAGGAUCUUAUUGGUGAAAGGGGCGUAGGAUGCUGGUUAAUUUGGAGGUGGAUAUGGAUCGGGAUAUGGGUGAGGCAUGGGGAUUCCGGAUCAUUGUUUAUUUGGAUUCGGUUUCUAUAUCGGGGGAAAAGAAGGAGAUUUCUGGAGGUUAAUAAGGCAAGGAUACGUGAUUCUUUUUAUCAAUGGGGGAUGCGGGAUUCCGAUUUGGUGCUACAGGAUCUUCGUUUACGGAGGAUUUGUGCUGAUGUGAUUUCGGUGAAUAAGGAAGAUAUGGGGCUGAUUCGAGGCAUCAAAUGGGAAGAUCUCAUUAAAUGGGAUUUGUGCAAUCAGUCUCACGCAAGGCAAGCGGUGGGGGAUAAAUUGGUUUCGGGGCUGAGAUAGUCUUCACACCUUUUUCUCUACUUUUCCUCUUUGACGAUUAUCUUCCGACAAUUUGCUCUCGGGUUUUGUCUGGUUUCUGUUACGAUGUCGCAAGCUUCCUUAGUGAAAAACGGUGGGGCGGGGAAGAAGGAGACAGAGGUGGUUCCCAAACGGCGUGUCAAAGUUCCAGCUUUUGAUAACACGGCGUUGAUCGAGGGGUAUGCGAAAACAUAUUAUCAGGCGCUGCUUCAACCCAAGCAAGCAGGAUAUGAAGACUCUUCUCUUAAUGUGUCCCAGGAUCUGGUAGAUCGAAAACAGGGUUGUGGGAUCUGACUUGGGGUUGGGGAAAUUCCAACUCAAUUUUGAGAAUCAAGAGGACAUCUCUAAGGUGCUGUAAAUGGAACCAUUCCAUUUUGAUCACUGGAUGGUGGCGAUGGUGCGUUAGAGGCCAUCGAUUGAUCCGGAGUAUCCGUCUUCCAUCACGUUUUGGAUCAGGGUCAUGGGCAUCCCUUUGCAAUUUUGGGCAGAGCCAACCUUUAGGAGCAUUGGCGAAGCUUUGGGAAAUGUCGAGGAGAUCGAUAUUCACGGUGGCCGGGUGAAGGUGAUUUUAAAACAGAGCUGGACUUUGGCAAUUGUGUGGAGGUUCCGGUGACGCUGCGCUAUGAAUGGUUGUUUGGGCUCUGCACGCUAUGCCAUAGCCUCUGUCAUGAAGAGGAUGAAUGUGAGAAGCUGAUUGUUACAAGGGUGUGAAUGCAUUAAAGACAGUCAAAAAUGCACAAGCUGUUCAUGCUUUUAAGUCUACCAAAUCUGAAAGUAUAGAUAAUCCAACUCAAGUUGGUAGAUUCAUAAAACAAGAGGCAUUAUCAGAAGCCAAGCGUUCACAACCUUACACCUCUCCUACAAAACCCGAUGAGGAAAAAGAAUCAAAAGUUGUAGAUUGAACCGAGGGUCUUCACACACCAUGCACAUCAAACACCCUAUCAGAUUCUUUUGAAGAGGCGCGUCAUAAAACUUUAGAUGGGGCACUUUCUGAUUCGCAAACAUUUUUAGAGAAUGAUGACAAUUUCUCCCGUAAGAAAGGAUGUUCCAAAAGGCUUGCAUCCAACCAGCUUGAUCCUUUUAUUGGCAGUUCUAUUGUCAAAUGUAUCAUGCGUGGAGUGAAGCUAUCCCCUAGAGCUUAUGACCCUUUCCAAAAGGCUGAUGCUUCUAAAAUGAAUGCAUUACUUGACUAUAUCAAGCGUGAAGUGGAGGAUCCAAAUACCACAGACUUUGCAGCUUCCAAUUUUUACUAUAAGAUUCUGACACCCAAGGAGAUGUGGCCAGAAGAUAAACCAAAAUUUGGGUGGCUGAUGAACUUGCAUUUGUGUCCUAUAAUGCAGAUGCUCCGUAAUAGGUCUAUGGAAGAAGUCACCCCUUACAAAUAAAAAAGGAUUACAUGUUUGGAUCCAUGGUUUGUUAAUCAAUAGUCACAUGAUUACAAAUGGUUUGUCACUGAAAAGGAUUGGUCCUUUCCCCCCGAAUAUUUCAAGGUUUACGAGGGGACUUCAAAGAAAUACGGUGUUACUAACAAGAAAUGGGUUGAUGAUGUGGAUAUUUUAUAUCUCAUGCACAACUACAAGGGAGGGCAUUGGGUUGCUUGCGAGAUCGACUUAGUUGGGAGGCGUGUGAGGAUAUAUGAUAGGAUCAUCAGCUGCUCCACUAAAUAACAAACGUUUGAAUCAUGCAAGCACUACACUAAGAUGAUUCCACUGCUUAUGCAACACUUUGCUCCCUUGGAUGAGAAGAAAAAGAUGGGUGCCAACUCAUUUUGCUCUUAAGUACAUUGAAUGUCUUGCAUUAGGGAUUAAGUUCGAUGGCCUAUGUGAUGCGGCGAUGCCAGCUAUUCGUUUAUAGCUUGCAGCGGAUAUGUUUCACGAAGUUCCCAAUACAGAUUGUUUCAUUCAAAUGACAGAUGCAUGUGAUCGUAUUGGACACACAUCGGAAGUCGAGUUCGUCAAGGAGACGAAGGUGAACUGAGGCUGUUAGGGCUAUUUAAUUAUUUUUUGGUUCAAGUGGUUGGUUACUCAGGGAAGUAGGUGGUCGUGGCUGUUGUACAACUUUUUGGUCAGCCCACAUUUCCAUUUGUCUAGGUUAAUUGGCAACUGUAAUUUUUUGUAAAUUGUAUGUACUCGUAACGAUUUUAUGUCACCGUAAUAUCUUUGUAACAAGCCUUCGUUAAUACAUUAGUAGGAAUGGCAAUAAAUAUUAUGCAUUUCAUA